UAGAGUUUGAUCCUGGCUCAGAUUGAACGCUGGCGGUAUGCUUAACACAUGCAAGUCGAACGGAAACGAUACUAGCUUGCUAGUAGGCGUCGAGUGGCGGACGGGUGAGUAACGCGUAGGAAUCUACCAGAUAGUGGGGGAUAGCCCGGAGAAAUUCGGAUUAAUACCGCAUAAUCUCUACGGAGUAAAGGAGGCCUCUAUUUAUAUGCUUUCGCUAUCUGAUGAGCCUGCGUAAGAUUAGCUAGUUGGUGAGGUAAAAGCUCACCAAGGCAACGAUCUUUAGCUGGUCUGAGAGGAUGAUCAGCCACACUGGGACUGAGACACGGCCCAGACUCCUACGGGAGGCAGCAGUGGGGAAUAUUGGACAAUGGGGGCAACCCUGAUCCAGCAAUACCGCGUGUGUGAAGAAGGCCUGAGGGUUGUAAAGCACUUUCAAUUGUGAAGAAAAGUUAAUAGUUAAUAGCUAUUAGCCUGAC
rnacentral:rRNA from 1 species